rnacentral:rRNA from 1 species
UGAGGAAUAUUGGUCAAUGGGCGCGAGCCUGAACCAGCCAAGUAGCGUGCAGGAAGACGGCCCUAUGGGUUGUAAACUGCUUUUAUGCGGGGAUAAAGGAGUCCACGUGUGGAUUUUUGCAGGUACCGCAUGAAUAAGGACCGGCUAAUUCCGUGCCAGCAGCCGCGGUAAUACGGAAGGUCCGGGCGUUAUCCGGAUUUAUUGGGUUUAAAGGGAGCGUAGGCCGCGUUUUAAGCGUGUUGUGAAAUGUAGACGCCCAACGUCUGCAUCGCAGCGCGAACUGGGACGCUUGAGUACGCGCAACGUUGGCGGAAUUCGUCGUGUAGCGGUGAAAUGCUUAGAUAUGACGAGGAACACCGAUUGCGAAGGCAGCUGACGGGAGCGGCACUGACGCUUAAGCUCGAAGGUGCGGGUAUCAAACAGG